UGCGUCAUGACAACCUCAAAAUGACGCUGGAGUGAUCGAGGACGUCCCGUUUGAUAAAUUAAGUUCCUCCUUCCUCACGUCUCUCAUCCUCGCUGGGAAGAGACGUGAGUGAAGGAAACGAGGAGACACAUUAGUGUAAUGAAAAGCACCCAGAAUCUCAGCUCCCACUCCGGCAUCCUCCAUCAGCUGUGCCGGUCGGGGGUUUCCCAGUGAGGAGGUUCAAGUAUCUUGGGGUUUUGCUUCCCAGUAAGGAUAAGAUGGAGAGUGAGACUAACAGAUGACUGGUUGCAGCAGCAACAAGGAUGUUGCAGAUUCCUUCUCCUAACUUACCUUUUGGUCCUGAGGGGGAGUUUUGUAAACGCUGCACCAGAUCCUUCCUGUUGAUCUUUUCUAAAAC